rnacentral:rRNA from 1 species
GAUGAACGCUAGCUACAGGCUUAACACAUGCAAGUCGAGGGGCAGCGGUAUCGAAAGCUUGCUUUCGGUAGCCGGCGACCGGCGCACGGGUGAGUAACGCGUAUCGAACCUGCCUCAUACUCGGGAAUAGCCUUGCGAAAGUAAGAUUAAUGCCCGGUGUUUUCAGAGUCCCGCAUGAGGCUUUGAACAAAGAUUUAUCGGUAUGAGAUGGCGAUGCGUCCCAUUAGCUUGUUGGCGGGGUAACGGCCCACCAAGGCAUCGAUGGGUAGGGGUUCUGAGAGGAAGGUCCCCCACAUUGGAACUGAGACACGGUCCAAACUCCUACGGGAGGCAGCAGUGAGGAAUAUUGGUCAAUGGGCGGAAGCCUGAACCAGCCAAGUAGCGUGCAGGAAGACGGCCCUCCGGGUUGUAAACUGCUUUUAGUUGGGAAUAAAACGGGGCGCGUGAGCCCCCUUGCAUGUACCAUCAGAAAAAGGACCGGCUAAUUCCGU